UUUCCGUAGGUGAACCUGCGGAAGGAUCAUUACAGAGUUCAUGCCCUCACGGGUAGAUCUCCCACCCUUGAAUAUUUAUACCUUAGUUGCUUUGGCAGGCCGCGGAAACACCAUGGGCUCCGGCUUAUGCGUGCCUGCCAGAGGAAACAAACUCUGUUUUUAGUGAUGUCUGAGUACUAUAUAAUAGUUAAAACUCUCAACAACGGAUCUCUUGGUUCUG
rnacentral:misc_RNA from 1 species